AGAGUUUGAUCCUGGCUCAGGACGAACGCUGGCGGCGUGCCUAAUACAUGCAAGUCGAGCGGACCUUUCGGGGUCAGCGGCGGACGGGUGAGUAACACGUGGGCAAUCUGCCCGAUACUCUGGGAUAACGCUUGGAAACGAGUGCUAAUACCGGAUGGUCUUCUUGGCCGCAUGGCCGAGAAGGAAAAGACGCGUUCGCGUCGGUGUCGGAUGAGCCCGCGGCGCAUUAGCUAGUUGGUGAGGUAACGGCCCACCAAGGCGACGAUGCGUAGCCGACCUGAGAGGGUGACCGGCCACACUGGGACUGAGACACGGCCCAGACUCCUACGGGAGGCAGCAGUAGGGAAUCUUCCACAAUGGGCGAAAGCCUGAUGGAGCAACGCCGCGUGAGUGAUGAAGGCCUUCGGGUUGUAAAACUCUGUCAUUCGGGACGAACCGGAGUCUGAGGAAAUGCAGACUCUCUGACGGUACCGGAGGAGGAAGCCCCGGCUAACUACGUGCCAGCAGCCGCGGUAAUACGUAGGGGGCAAGCGUUGUCCGAAUUCACUGGGCGUAAGCGCGCGCAGGCGGUGAUGUAAGUCUGAGGUGAAAACCCGAAGCUCAACUUCGGGACUGCCUUGGAUACUGCGUCACUUGAGGAUAGGAGAGGCAAGGGGAAUUCCACGUGUAGCGGUGAAAUGCGUAGAGAUGUGGAGGAACACCUGUGGCGAAGGCGCCUUGCUGGCCUAUUUCUGACGCUGAGGCGCGAAAGCGUGGGGAGCAAACAGGAUUAGAUACCCUGGUAGUCCACGCUGUAAACGAUGAGUGCUAGGUGUAGGUGGGCUCAUACCCAUCUGUGCCGAAGCUAACGCAUUAAGCACUCCGCCUGGGGAGUACGGUCGCAAGACUGAAACUCAAAGGAAUUGACGGGGGCCCGCACAAGCAGUGGAGCAUGUGGUUUAAUUCGAAGCAACGCGAAGAACCUUACCAGGACUUGACAUCCCAUAGACCAGUCUAGAGAUAGACUUUCCCUUCGGGGCUGUGGUGACAGGUGGUGCAUGGUUGUCGUCAGCUCGUGUCGUGAGAUGUUGGGUUAAGUCCCGCAACGAGCGCAACCCUUACUUUGUGUUGCCAGCAUUCAGUUGGGCACUCACAAGGGACUGCCGCCGAUAAGGCGGAGGAAGGUGGGGAUGACGUCAAAUCAUCAUGCCCCUUAUGUCCUGGGCUACACACGUGCUACAAUGGGCGGUACAACGGGAUGCGAAGCCGCGAGGUGGAGCCAAACCCUGAAAACCGUUCGUAGUUCGGAUUGUAGGCUGCAACUCGCCUACAUGAAGCCGGAAUUGCUAGUAAUCGCGGAUCAGCAUGCCGCGGUGAAUCCGUUCCCGGGCCUUGCACACACCGCCCGU
rnacentral:rRNA from 1 species